UAGAUGCGAGAGUAGAGCAUAUCAAUAAGCGGAGGAAAAGAAACUAACAAGGAUUCCCUUAGUAACGGCGAGUGAAGCGGGAAGAGCUCAAAUUUGAAAUCUUCAAGGUUCUACCUUGACGAAUUGUAGUUUAAAGAAGUGUUUUCUGUUAGAUGAGUAGCAAAAGUUCCUUGGAAUGGGACAUCAUAGAGGGUGAGAAUCCCGUAUUUGGUUAUUCAUUCUAGCUUUGUGAUACACUUUCAAAGAGUCGGAUUGUUUGGGAAUGCAGUCCAAAAUGGGUGGUAAAUUUCAUCUAAAGCUAAAUAUUGGCGAGAGACCGAUAGCGAACAAGUACCGUGAGGGAAAGAUGAAAAGAACUUUGAAAAGAGAGUUAAACAGUACGUGAAAUUGUCAAAAGGGAAGCGUUUGACACCAGUGUUGUUUUUCCGAAAAUCAAUUACGAAUGGCUUGAUUUUGUGUUGUAUUGACCUUAUCAGCUUUCUGCACUUUUUUCGAGUCUUUCUUAAUGCACUUUUCGGUUAACAAGUCAACAUCAAUUUCUUUUGUUGUAGAAGAGUAUUCGGAAGGUGGCUUUCUUUUCGGAGAAAGUGUUUAUAGCCCUAUACUUCUACAAUCGGAGAGAUUGAGGUCUGCAGCGUAGAUCCUUCGGGGUUAGAUACACUUGUGCUAAGUUGUAGCUUUUCAUAAACAACUUGUUGACUAUGUUUAGUCAUGCGGCUUACUCGCUUAGUGCUAUUUUACCUACGCUUAGGAUGUUGAGCGCAUGUCUCUCUCU
rnacentral:rRNA from 1 species